rnacentral:rRNA from 1 species
GACGAACGCUGGCGGCGUGCUUAACACAUGCAAGUCGAACGGAAAGGCCCUGCUUUUGUGGGUUGCUCGAGUGGCGAACGGGUGAGUAACACGUGAGUAACCUGCCCUUGACUUUGGGAUAACUUCAGGAAACUGGGGCUAAUACCGGAUAGGAGCUCCUGCUGCAUGUUGGGGGUUGGAAAGUUUCGGCGGUUGGGGAUGGACUCGCGGCUUAUCAGCUUGUUGGUGGGGUAGUGGCUUACCAAGGCUUUGACGGGUAGCCGGCCUGAGAGGGGGACCGGCCACAUUGGGACUGAGAUACGGCCCAGACUCCUACGGGAGGCAGCAGGGGGGAAUAUUGCACAAUGGGCGGAAGCCUGAUGCAGCAACGCCGCGUGCGGGAUGACGGCCUUCGGGUUGUAAACCGCUUUCGACUGUGACGAAGCGGGAGUGACGGUAAUGGGUAAAGAAGCACCGGCUAACUACGUG